rnacentral:rRNA from 1 species
ACCUCCCCGCCGUUUGAGUAAUGGGGGGACGCAGGAGGAUAGGGUAAGCGCGCUGCUGGAUAUGCGCGUCCAAGCCGUUAGGCUGAAGAGGAGGCAAAUCCUUCUCUUUAAAGCGGAGCGGUGAUGGCGAGGGAAAUAUAGUACCGAAGUUCCUGAUUCCACACUGCCAAGAAAAGCCUCUAGCGAGGCGGGAGGUGCCCGUACCGCAAACCGACACAGGUAGGCGAGGAGAGAAUCCUAAGGUGAUCGAGAGAACUCUCGUUAAGGAACUCGGCAAAAUGACCCCGUAACUUCGGGAGAAGGGGUGCUCUUUUGGGUGAAAGCCCGAGAGAGCCGCAGUGAAUAGGCCCAGGCGACUGUUUAGCAAAAACACAGGUCUCUGCGAAGCCGCAAGGCGAAGUAUAGGGGCUGACGCCUGCCCGGUGCUGGAAGGUUAAGAGGAGUGCUUAGGCGCAAGCCGAAGGUACGAAUUGAAGCCCCAGUAAACGGCGGCCGUAACUAUAACGGUCCUAAGGUAGCGAAAUUCCUUGUCGGGUAAGUUCCGACCCGCACGAAAGGCGCAACGAUCUGGGCACUGUCUCAACGAGAGACUCGGUGAAAUUAUAGUACCUGUGAAGAUGCAGGUUACCCGCGACAGGACGGAAAGACCCCGUGGAGCUUUACUGCAGCCUGAUAUGGAAUGUUGGUGCAGCUUGUACAGGAUAGGUAGGAGCCGUCGAAGCAGGAGCGCCAGCUUCUGUGGAGGCAUCGGUGGGAUACUACCCUUGCUGUACUGACAUUCUAACCCGCACCCGUGAUCCGGGUGGGAGACAGUGUCAGGCAGGCAGUUUGACUGGGGCGGUCGCCUCCUAAAGAGUAACGGAGGCGCCCAAAGGUUCCCUCAGAAUGGUUGGAAAUCAUUCGCAGAGUGUAAAGGCACAAGGGAGCUUGACUGCGAGACCUACAAGUCGAGCAGGGACGAAAGUCGGGCUUAGUGAUCCGGUGGUUCCGCAUGGAAGGGCCAUCGCUCAACGGAUAAAAGCUACCCCGGGGAUAACAGGCUUAUCUCCCCCAAGAGUUCACAUCGACGGGGAGGUUUGGCACCUCGAUGUCGGCUCAUCGCAUCCUGGGGCUGUAGUCGGUCCCAAGGGUUGGGCUGUUCGCCCAUUAAAGCGGUACGCGAGCUGGGUUCAGAACGUCGUGAGACAGUUCGGUCCCUAUCCGUCGCGGGCGCAGGAAAUUUGAGAGGAGCUGUCCUUAGUACGAGAGGACCGGGAUGGACGCACCGCUGGUGUACCAGUUGUCUCGCCAGAGGCAUAGCUGGGUAGCUAUGUGCGGAAGGGAUAAGUGCUGAAAGCAUCUAAGCAUGAAGCCCCCCUCAAGAUGAGAUUUCCCUUGGUUUAUACCAUAAGACCCCUGAAAGAUGAUCAGGUUGAUAGGUCCGAGGUGGAAGUGUGGCGACACAUGGAGCUGACGGAUACUAAUCGGUCAAGGGCUUAAUCA